CUAGCUGCCUACAUUUCCCCCCUCCUUAUGCUUAACUAAAUUGGCUAAAAUAUAAAAGAUACUGGUCAUAAAAAUUCUACCCUUUUUCUCAUUCUAUAUUUUAUAAAAAAUACAUUGCAUAGACUUGAGUAAAAACAUAAGAUACGCUACACUUAACUAAAAAGCUAACGCAUAAGAAGCUUAGGCAUAAUACCUAAGUAACUUUUAGGAGCUCUUGUUUAAAGCAGUUGCUGACGCUCUACUAACAUAAUGUCAACUCUCUCUAAGCGGCUUCUGACAAAUGACACAAGCCUAUUCAAAACACACGGUCCAAAGAUUAACACCAGUAAGAUCAGGCCCGAUCAGGGUGGAUACUAGGGUGGUCAGCCACAGAGACUUAAAUAGUGAUACGAACCACUCUUGUUGAUCCUCUCUAUCUCUUUUUCUCUGGGCUAGUCUUUCCCUCAAUUCAGCCACUGAGUCUCUGACCACUUCAGUGUGAUCAGCAUAAAAGCUCUUCCCUUAAGGCGACACAGAGGCCUCCUUGCUGCAUGAGCACAAGAUCUAGUCCUCGCCUAUUCUGCAGGACAACUUCAGAGAGUGAGGACAGUGACUGUUCUGGAAAGGAGAUAGACCUUUCAGUUCUCUGUAAGUCUUCAUCAAUUGUCAUUUGCUGCUGGGACAGUCCUUGUUGUUGGGUCACAAGGGCGGAGACACCUGUGCCAGCACCAGUUGCUCCCAGGCCAAGCAGCAUCGCUAUGGUCACACCUGUCACUAGUUCUCUUUUCCGAAGUCGGCCCAACUCACAUCGCCUGGUUGUAAAACUGUCACUUUUAGGAAAAAUGUCUCCAAGCUAUACAUCGAAGCUGGGGACGCCUGUUACAGUACUAUCUCUAAUUACUCUGCCUGUUGUUGGAUCUCAAAGAAGUCAUCAAAAGGGUUGGUAAGGAUGGCGUUCUGGUUCAGCCUGCGUUACAGCAGCUAGCCCUAGAAGCAGAAUGGUGCAAAAACAUCGAUAUUGUUUGGGUUUUACUGGCGUGGAAGUCUCCGAUGUCUUCAAGGUAUUUGCCGGCUUGUCACCCUCUUCUGUUGCUAGGGCCUACAGUUUACGAGGACGUCCACAAAUCCAUUCCUGUAGAAAGAAGCCUACAGUUUUCAUUAGCUUUAUUCUGGAGGUCUGGUUUAAUAGACUUAAGUGGACACCAUUUGACUCUACCUUCUUUUCUGACUGCUGCAUACCGGCGUCCUGUCAAAACCAAUUUUCACCCUUGUUCCCAUUCCCCCAGCUCAUUUCUAACUAUGACCGAUGUGCCUUCUUCUAGCGCUCAAAUGGCCCAAUGCUUUUGGGAUUUUGAGGAGAUUUAGGGAAUUUUGUGGCA